rnacentral:rRNA from 1 species
CGAAAGCCUGACGGAGCAAUACCGCGUGAGGGAGGAAUGCCUUUGGGUUGUAAACCUCUUUUCUCAGGGAAGAAGAUCUGACGGUACCUGAGGAAUAAGUAUCGGCUAACUCCGUGCCAGCAGCCGCGGUAAUACGGAGGAUGCAAGCGUUAUCCGGAAUCAUUGGGCGUAAAGCGUCCGCAGGUGGUUUCCAAAGUCUGCUGUUAAAGACUGGAGCUCAACUCCGGAACGGCGGUGGAAACUUGGAAACUAGAGUUCGGUAGGGGUAGCAGGAAUUCCCAGUGUAGCGGUGAAAUGCGUAGAUAUUGGGAAGAACAUCGGUGGCGAAGGCGUGCUACUGGACCGCAACUGACACUCAGGGACGAAAGCUAGGGUAGCG